ensembl:lncRNA
AUGGAUACCCCUGCAGGAGCAGCCCUGGCUGGAGCUGCAGCCCACAGAGAGAAGCAAAGGAUGGAACAGUCUUGUUUCAGCAGACAAAAAAAAGGGAAGCAAGCAGGAAAAAACUCUGAACAUGCAAUGAAUCAUCAGUUUGAGGCGCAAAGAGGAAGAAAAAGUGUCUGAAAAUGAGAGCAUCAUUAAUUUGCACUGUCAGUAUGGAGCAGAGUUGUCAAGAAAAUUUUGUCACUGACCACUUCCAGAAAUAUCCUGAACCAUUGCCUCCAUAGUACUGUAAGUCUGGCAGCAGGCAGCACAGGCCUUAGGCAAGUCUGUCCAUAGCUCCUCAGCAGAAAAUUCCGGGAGAGUCAGCCAGAAGUGCGGCAAACAUGAAGGCAGCUGCAAACUGUAUCUUGAGCUCUUACUUCCAAAUCUCAACAGAACAGUUUGCAGGAAUGUGAGGUUGUAAGAGACUAUUCUUUUAUAUCAUUGACUCAAAGUUUGCUGAGGAACAAGUCCAGGCAAGUCCUGGGCAAAGGCAGAGAAAUCUUUUGUCUUGAGGACACUGAUGGACAGGUCCUGGCUAAGGAUUGUGAAAUCCUCUAAGGAGCACAGAUGGACAAGGCCAGGGGCAUCAAGAGAGAGAUAAGCUGCUGCUAAUGGCCGGGAAACGGUCUUUUUUGUGUGGACUUAUCUCGAGGAAGAUGGCCAUCUCAGGAGGUAUGCACAGGACUCUUCCUCAGGCACCCAGGAAUGCCACGUAGGCAGGAGAAAAUGGAGGAUAAAAGAGGGUCCAACAACCAUGGCGAGGUAGAGGCUUAUCUCUCACCACGACAGACUUGAGGGGUUCUCUGCCAUCUGAUCCUUCACCACAACAGUGGAGGCUGAUCUCUCACCGCAACGUGGAGGCUGAUCUCUCACCGCAACGUGGAGGCUGAUCUCUCACCGCAACGUGGAGGCUGAUCUCUCACCGCAACACAGAGGCUGAUCUCUCAUGAUCUCUCACCACGACACGAGCUUCCUGCCUUCAGAUCCUUCUCUACAGGACCGUCUGCUGACGGACUUCCCUGGGCCUGCUACCUGAGACCUGCUGCUUCCUCCCUGACCUGCACCCUCUCGUUGCCCAAGACCGCUGCUCCUCGCUGCUCCUGCCCUUCGGCCUCGGACCGUCGGAACAUCAUGCAACGGGACUGCUGCCGGAUCCUGGUGGUGACUAUCCCCGCUUUACUGCAAUUCUUGCCUCCUUCUAUCUUUUCUAAUCACUCGCCUUCCCUUCCCCAUCACCCCAAUCCUUAAUAGUGUCCGUCCUCCCCUUUCCCCAUCUCCCUUAUUAACAUUUGUAAUAAACUGGUCGGACC